GCUCUGGUGGCCUAGUUGUUAGAGCUUCCGCCUCAGAUGCGAAAGGUCGAGGGUUCGAUCCCCUGUGGAGUC